rnacentral:rRNA from 1 species
GACGAACGCUGGCGGCGUGCUUAACACAUGCAAGUCGAACGGGAUAAUUUGAGAGCUUGCUCUUAGAGAAUCUAGUGGCAAACGGGUGAGUAACACGUAGACAACCUGCCGACAGGAUGGGGACAACAUUCCGAAAGGAAUGCUAAUACCGAAUGAAGCGGAGGAGAGGCAUCUCUCCUCCGUGAAAGAUGGCCUCUGAAUAUGCUAUCACCUGUCGAUGGGUCUGCGUCUGAUUAGCUAGUUGGUGAGGUAACGGCUCACCAAGGCGACGAUCAGUAGCCGGUCUGAGAGGAUGAACGGCCACAUUGGGACUGAGACACGGCCCAGACUCCUACGGGAGGCAGCAGUGGGGAAUCUUCCGCAAUGGGCGCAAGCCUGACGGAGCAACGCCGCGUGAGUGAAGAAGGCCUUCGGAUCGUAAAGCUCUGUUGACGGGGACGAACGUGCGAAGGGUGAAUAAUCCUUUGUAAUGACGGUACCUGUCGAGGAAGCCACGGCUAACUACGUG